rnacentral:misc_RNA from 1 species
GAUGAAGAACGCAGCGAAACGCGAUAGUUAAUGUGAAUUGCAGAAUUCAGUGAAUCAUCGAGUCUUUGAACGCACAUUGCGCCCAUUGGUAUUCCGUUGGGCAUGUCUGUUUGAGCGUCAUUACAACAGUUCAGCGUAAGCUGGUUAUGAGUUCUGUUUUUUUAAACAAAAAACAGGCUUUAAAAUGUAUGUUCUGCAGGUCGCUUUGCUAAACCCUAAACAUUAAAUACUGUUCUAGUGAAGCAUUUGCGACUCUGCCUGAAAAAAAACUUUUGUUAAAGUUUGACCUCAGAUCAGACAAGGAUACCCGCUGAACUUAAGCAUAUCAAAAGCGGAGGA